UGGCAGGCUAGGCUGGGAGGUUAGUCGUCUCCUGUUACCAUCAACCGACUUACGAUGGAGCUGAAGCCUGAAGAGAGGUUUAUCCAGGAUAUCUUGGUCUUGGCUUGGACUAUGAUACUCUGUCCCUAUGGAUUGGCCUUCGAGGGAAUCGGGUCACGCGCUAGAAUCAAAGAUUCGUUGGUCUCGUGCCUGCGCGCCCGAGAGGCUGGGAACAGAGCAGCCCUAACCACCUAGGUCGGUGCUAUAGGGGUAGCGGAGUUGAGAAAAAGUCAAGGUUCAACCAAGGCGUUUUGGGUGGAUCCAUCUUCGGGCGUGCCUGCCU
rnacentral:SRP_RNA from 1 species